ACAAAGACUAGACGUGUGUUUCAUCUUACAACUGUUUUGGGUCCACUGAUCGGAAGAUGUAAACAAAUUGCUGUGAACAUGUUUGAAGCUUGAACAUUAUAUUCCAGUUUCUAGUUUCGGGAUCCAUGAAUCUUGAAUGAAGUUUAGACGGACCUCGGUGACUUCUAUUAUGUGACGUUUAACGUGAAUUAAUACGUUGUUUCUUUUGUGUGUUAUGGUUCUUUGAUGAAAUUUUGUGAAUGUUAUAGAUCAUGAUUGUAUUGUAACAGCAUAUGAGAUUGUAUGAAAGUUAUACUCAAAUAAGUUAACUAAAUUAUAAAUAAUAUAUAUUUUACCACAUC
rnacentral:misc_RNA from 1 species